GUUUGAUCCUGGCUCAGAUUGAACGCUGGCGGCAGGCCUAACACAUGCAAGUCGAGCGGUAGCACAGAGAGCUUGCUCUCGGGUGACGAGCGGCGGACGGGUGAGUAAUGUCUGGGAAACUGCCUGAUGGAGGGGGAUAACUACUGGAAACGGUAGCUAAUACCGCAUAACGUCGCAAGACCAAAGUGGGGGACCUUCGGGCCUCAUGCCAUCAGAUGUGCCCAGAUGGGAUUAGCUAGUAGGUGGGGUAACGGCUCACCUAGGCGACGAUCCCUAGCUGGUCUGAGAGGAUGACCAGCCACACUGGAACUGAGACACGGUCCAGACUCCUACGGGAGGCAGCAGUGGGGAAUAUUGCACAAUGGGCGCAAGCCUGAUGCAGCCAUGCCGCGUGUGUGAAGAAGGCCUUCGGGUUGUAAAGCACUUUCAGCGGGGAGGAAGGCGAUAAGGUUAAUAACCUUGUCGAUUGACGUUACCCGCAGAAGAAGCACCGGCUAACUCCGUGCCAGCAGCCGCGGUAAUACGGAGGGUGCAAGCGUUAAUCGGAAUUACUGGGCGUAAAGCGCACGCAGGCGGUCUGUCAAGUCGGAUGUGAAAUCCCCGGGCUCAACCUGGGAACUGCAUUCGAAACUGGCAGGCUAGAGUCUUGUAGAGGGGGGUAGAAUUCCAGGUGUAGCGGUGAAAUGCGUAGAGAUCUGGAGGAAUACCGGUGGCGAAGGCGGCCCCCUGGACAAAGACUGACGCUCAGGUGCGAAAGCGUGGGGAGCAAACAGGAUUAGAUACCCUGGUAGUCCACGCCGUAAACGAUGUCGAUUUGGAGGUUGUGCCCUUGAGGCGUGGCUUCCGGAGCUAACGCGUUAAAUCGACCGCCUGGGGAGUACGGCCGCAAGGUUAAAACUCAAAUGAAUUGACGGGGGCCCGCACAAGCGGUGGAGCAUGUGGUUUAAUUCGAUGCAACGCGAAGAACCUUACCUGGUCUUGACAUCCACAGAACUUUCCAGAGAUGGAUUGGUGCCUUCGGGAACUGUGAGACAGGUGCUGCAUGGCUGUCGUCAGCUCGUGUUGUGAAAUGUUGGGUUAAGUCCCGCAACGAGCGCAACCCUUAUCCUUUGUUGCCAGCGGUUAGGCCGGGAACUCAAAGGAGACUGCCAGUGAUAAACUGGAGGAAGGUGGGGAUGACGUCAAGUCAUCAUGGCCCUUACGACCAGGGCUACACACGUGCUACAAUGGCAUAUACAAAGAGAAGCGACCUCGCGAGAGCAAGCGGACCUCAUAAAGUAUGUCGUAGUCCGGAUUGGAGUCUGCAACUCGACUCCAUGAAGUCGGAAUCGCUAGUAAUCGUAGAUCAGAAUGCUACGGUGAAUACGUUCCCGGGCCUUGUACACACCGCCCGUCACACCAUGGGAGUGGGUUGCAAAAGAAGUAGGUAGCUUAACCUUCGGGAGGGCGCUUACCACUUUGUGAUUCAUGACUGGGGUGAAGUCGUAACAAGGUAACCGUAGGGGAACCUGCGGCUGGAUCACCUCCUUU
rnacentral:rRNA from 3 species